rnacentral:misc_RNA from 1 species
UCUCCGUUGGUGAACCAGCGGAGGGAUCAUUACUGAGUGAGGGCUUCGGUCCGACCUCCAACCCUUUGUGAACCAAACUUGUUGCUUCGGGGGCGACCCUGCCGUUCGGCGCGGCGCCCCCGGAGGCUCAUCAAACACUGCAUCUUUGCGUCGGAGUCUUAAAGAAAUUUAAACAAAACUUUCAAUAACGGAUCUCUUGGUUCUGGCAUCGAUGAAGAACGCAGC